rnacentral:rRNA from 1 species
GUAGUUAGCCGGGGCUUCCUCCUUGGCUACCGUCACUUUCUUCGUCACCAAGGACAGAGGUUUACAACCCGAAAGCCUUCUUCCCUCACGCGGCGUUGCUGGGUCAGGCUUGCGCCCAUUGCCCAAUAUUCCCCACUGCUGCCUCCCGUAGGAGUCUGGACCGUGUCUCAGUUCCAGUGUGGCCGUUCAGCCUCUCAGCUCGGCUACCCAUCGUCGACUUGGUGGGCCGUUACCCCGCCAACUAUCUAAUGGGACGCGAACCCCUCCUGAAGCGGAUUCCUCCUUUGACCUCAUCCCGAUGUCGGGUCGUGGUCUUAUGCGGUAUUAGCAACCGUUUCCGGUUGUUAUCCCCCUCUUCAGGGCAGGUUGUUCACGCGUUACUCACCCGUUCGCCACUAAAGUAUCAACCGAAAUCAAUACUUCCGUUCGACUUGCAUGUGUUAGGCACGCCGCCAGCGUUCGUCCUGAGCCAGUGACUACUAACUCUACGACUAGACGGCGGUCGUCGGACGACGGCGACAGU